rnacentral:misc_RNA from 1 species
AACCUAGCACACCUGCGGUGUGUACCUGCGGAGGGAUCAUUAACGAGUUACCACUCUAUAACCCUUUGUGAACAUACCUACAUGUUGCUUCGGCGGUCGGCCCCCCCGGGCCCCCGGCCCCGCUCACGCGGGGCGUCCGCCGGAGGAUAACCAAACUCUGAUUUAACGACGUUUCUUCUGAGUGGCACAAGCAAAAAAUCAAAACUUUCAACAACGGAUCU